rnacentral:rRNA from 1 species
UCAAUAAGCGGAGGAAAAGAAACCAACAGGGAUUACCUCAGUAACGGCGAGUGAAGCGGUAACAGCUCAAAUUUGAAAGCUGCCAACAGGCCGCGUUGUAAUUUGUAGAAGCUGCUUUGGGUGUCGGCCCGGUCUAAGUUCCUUGGAACAGGACGUCAUAGAGGGUGAGAAUCCCGUAUGUGAUCGGUGCCGUUGCCCGUGUAAAGCGCUUUCGACGAGUCGAGUUGUUUGGGAAUGCAGCUCAAAAUGGGUGGUAAAUUUCAUCUAAAGCUAAAUAUUGGCCAGAGACCGAUAGCGCACAAGUAGAGUGAUCGAAAGAUGAAAAGCACUUUGGAAAGAGAGUUAAACAGUACGUGAAAUUGUUGAAAGGGAAGCGCUUGCAACCAGACUUGCGGGCGGUCGAUCAUCCGAGGUUCUCCCCGGUGCACUCGAUCGUUCUCAGGCCAGCAUCGGUUUCCGGGGUGGGAUAAAGGCGGUGGGAAUGUGGCUCUUCGGAGUGUUAUAGCCCACCGUGCAAUGCCGCCACUGGGGACCGAGGACCGCGCUUCGGCUAGGAUGCUGGCG